rnacentral:rRNA from 1 species
GAUGAACGCUGGCGGCGUGCCUAAUACAUGCAAGUCGAACGAACAGACGUGGAGCUUUCUCCUCUUACGUUAUCGGGGGACAGGGGAGUGACACGUGGAUAACCUAUCUAUAAGACUGGGGGAACUUCGUUAAACCGGAGCGAAUACAGGAUAAUAUAUUUAACCGCAUUAUUCAAGAGUGAAAGAAGGUUUUUCUUUCACUUAUGGAUGGAUCCGCGCCGAAUUAUCUAGUUGGUAAGGUAACGGCUUACCAAGGCAACGAUGAGUAGCCGACCUGAGAGGGUGAUGGGCCCAACGGGAAGUGAGACAGGGUCCAGACUCCACCGGGAGGAAGCAGUAGGGAAUUUUCGGCAAGGAGCGAAAGCCUACCGGAGCACCGCCGCGUGAGUAAUGAAGGUCUUCGGAUCUUAAACCUCUGUUAUUAGGGCAGAAGAAAUGUGUACGUAACUAUGCACGUAUUGACGGUACCUAAUCAGAAAGCCACGGCUAACUACGUG